ensembl:lncRNA
GGAGGGUUUGGAUACAGACAUUGAUGUUGAGAUGCUCAGACAGCUCUCCUCCUCGGGCAGUCGUAUGGUGCAGCACCACCCCUCUCUGAACACCUACACCCUGUCUGUGGGCACCGAGCCGGGCGGCGCACCACCCAACCUACAAGCCGACAUCCUGGAACUGUACAGACUGAUCCUUAGCCAUUGUCAAGGGAAGGGAGGAGUUGCCUUUCGGCAGAGCUCAGACUCUCCGCACAUUGCCCAAGAAUGUGAUGACGGCCUGGAGACCAGAGAUUGUGGUUGUGAAGAGGCACCGCUCGACUCCCUUGAGACGAGAGAACGAGGGUUCACUCCUUUUAGCACAGAGGAAAACAAAGGAGAACGUAAUGACCGUCUGGAUCCCUCGCAAAUCAGGGAGGGUGACGGAGAUCCCUCGCUCAGCUGUGAAACUGACCCGGCUCUCCUACACAAUGGCAAUAGCGCAGAUCAGCGAGUGUGUGCUUGUGAAAACAGUGAGACUGAUUGCGGAGAGCAAGAAAAUCAUUCAACUAGUGGUCUAGUUAGUACCGGUGACAUUGGAGAUAGUAGUGAUGGUUUGCAGAGCGGUUCUGAGAGCAUAGUCCACAGAAGCUCUUCCUGUGGACAACAGAAAGAGGAAGCUGAUAAAGCGGACGACUUAAUCUGUGAAACACCGGUUUGUGCUGAGGGACCCAAGGAGGAAAAUCAGGAAAAAGGACACAAGUUUGUGGAGGAGAAAGAGCUAUCUGAACGUAGCCCCAUCGUUGAGGCAGGAGAUAUGGGAAUUACUCAGUCUUUGGACACGCCGGAAAGCUCGGAUGUUGAAUCUUGUUCUCAGGGUGUAGAGACUGAUGAUGAAGAAGAGGAUGAGUGCGGAGAUCUCAUAGAUCCAGAGGAGGUUCUAGAAGAAAGCAAUAAACCACUGGAUCUAAAUCCUGAUGGAGAUACACCUCUGGAUUGCUCGCGACAAAAUUUGGUGCAUGCUUGUGAAGACAUUUGUGAUAAAACCGAUGACACAGGAACCCAGCUAGAGGGAGGCGUUUGUGAGAAGAUCACGUGUAAUGUGGAAGGUACGCAAGAUCUUGAUUCUUCAGGAACCUGUGAUCAAGAAGACACUGAUGAGGAGUUUCAGGAGAGUCUAGAAAUGCCAUACUUUGAAACAGAUGGCAACCAACCGAAGGAAAAACUUAGUGAUACAACCUCAAGGACUAUGGUUGAUGAAGAUGAGAGCAUUUUACACCUGCAUGAAGUAAAUCGAGAACUGUUGCCUGUAGAAAAGUCAAUUCCUUCAAUUGAAGAAAGUGAGUUUGACGAACAGAAACUAAAUUCCUGCAGUGUCUUACAAGCUCAGUUUGGUCCAGAACCUGGAUCUUCCACAGCAACUAGUGAGGACACCUUAGAAGAUCUAGAGGUUCUUUUAGGUAUAAGUUUUGAGAGGAUGAAGAACGUUCAAGGGAAACAGAAACACCAACCCCUUUGGGAAGCUCAGGCAUCAGAGGAGGAAGUUCUUGAGUCAGCGAUUCCCGCAGAUGCGGAGAAAGUGAAUCUCCCAGAUGACUCCUCUCAGGAUCCCAGACAGGAUAUGACCUCAAAAAGUGAGGUCAUGCAGGGCACAGCAGCAGUAGACCUUUCAGAAGAGGUUGUGGGUGUAGUUAUUGUAAACACAGAUGAAUCGGGAGAUCAAUGUGUCUUGGUGGAUACCUCAGACAUAUUAGCUACGUCAAAUGAGUUUGGAAUCUCGGAGGAAAGCCUGGCAGUCAAAGCAGAAGAUCUGUUGGGUGUUUCGCUCCACACUGACCAUCUAGAUGGUGCCUUACAUGUCCCAAAUGCUCUUGCUGAGGAUGACAUUAUAGUUUCUUCUGUAUCUCCUGAGCAAGCCCAAGCAAGCUUAGAUCCUGUGUCUCAAGAGACAGAAGCCACCGUGCAGGAAGCUGUUCAACCAAUGGGUGAAGAAGACCUACUGAAGAGUAAGUUGAACAAUAAAAAGUGUAAAAUAUUUUGUGAAAAAAAAGCUGCACCUGAUUAUAAGAGAAAAACAUGUACAUAUCACAUUUUAUAAUUUUAUUCAGCAAUAAUAUGAAAUAAAUGAAAUGUUUAGGAACAUUGUAAAUGCUAUAGAUAUGUAUUAUAACUCCAGCCACUCCAGUACAUAGAAAAGUACAUAGACCAUCAUAAAUUACAGUGGUAUUCCUUAUAAACAUUUAUUAUAAUGCUAAAGAUAUACAAAAUUGGAUAAAGUGAUAAACAAAUAAACUUGGGCUCACGUACCUCUUAUCUGACACAAAUCUAAAAUAAGUGCAUUUUUGCGCAUGUUUUGCAUGCUUGAUGUGAAUUGCAGUACAUUUCAGAUGAUAUUAAAACCAUGACUUAUGUUCCUAAAAAUAUAGUAUUAUAUACAUUUGAUGACGUAUUUAUUGUUGCUCCAACAGUUUUCUUGGUUCAAAAAAUGACAUUUUGCUAGAGAAACUAAAAAAUCCAUUGCCAAGAUUCAUGUUUAAUUUCAUCACUGAUCAAAUAUUACACUGUGAUUGCAAGAACACCCGCCUUCCAUAAUAAACCAAAAUUAAGUAAUUAUACCUUUCAGAUCCAACUGAAUAAUUGAAAGUAGCCUGUGCUUCUACGACACGCACAUGCCUGAGUGAACAGGGUGUAUUCAUCAUGAUUUAUGUACAUAACAAAAAGUAGCUUAGCAACAGGUGAUGUCAUUAUGGGAUGUCCAGGGAUGUGAAGUUACAAGAUGAGGUCAGCAUCCAUUUCCUGAACUUUUUUGGUACACCCAUGUUUUUAAAGCAUAUUGUUAUCUUUGCGAAGUUACGUAACUGAAAUACAAUAGCCAGACUUACCAUUUCCAGAAACAUGCCUGUUUGGUUGAUGUUUUUAUUUCAUUUAUCAUUUAAUAAAUAAUGACUCCGAUAUAUCAUUCUUGAGUGAAUUUAUUUUCAUGAACAAAUGUGUACUGUUUGAUCUUUUUGAUUGUUUAUAUCUGACUGAUUAAAGUUAUUGUAUGUUCUCUCACAGAGUCAGAUGCAUGUUUGGAGGAUCAGACGGACUCCCAGAAGACAAUGUGGCUUGAUAUCACAGACAAAAAAGAUGCACCAAAGGUUAGUACUAAAAAUAUAGUGUUUUUAGACAAUAUAUAUUUAAUUUACUGCACUUCACUUACGAAAUAUGCUGUGGGUGUAUGUUGUGACAUGAAUGAAAUCCCAUGAUAUUUAUGUUGCAAAAAUACUAGGGCUGUCAGUCGUUUAUUAUUGUUUCUGUCACUUCUUUGUUUUAUGCUGAUGGAUGAUUUUGACUGUGAAGUUUCACUGUGUUUCAGAUCAUUAUUGUGCAAUAUAUUUUUAAAAAGUUAUCAAAUUGAUAUAAUCGCCUAAAAAGACAAGUGUGAUUUUUUAACCAAAAUAGGCUCGUGUUUUUUGUUAUGAUCCCUGUCAGCAAGAUCCUGAACAUUCAGUGAGGGGGCAAUAUUUACAGUUGUUUUGAAGUAAAUAAUUUUGAGCACCAAGUUCCAAAUGGGGGCAAUAUUUCACUGAGAACAUAAUGUAACGUCCUGUUACUCAGCAGCAUUUCGGUCGGGUCCCCAUGGUGCGGGCCCAUGUAUAACCAAUAACAGAUGUGGUCCUCCCUUUCACCUGCUAGUUAUGAAAAGAUCUGAGAAUUAUUAUAAACAUCUGAAUAUCCAGCAUGUAAUAUAUCUUUGUACAUGUGGAGCCAGCGCUAGAAUAAAGAAGAGAAAUACACUACCAUUCAAAAGUUUUAUUUUAUUUUAUUUUAUUUUUUUAA